UACGUAGGGUGCAGGCGUUACUCGGAAUUACUGGGCGUAAAGCGUGCGCAGGCGGCUUCCUAAGUCAGAUGUGAAAUCCCCGGGCUUAACCUGGGAACUGCGUUUGAAACUGGGAGGCUCGAGUGCGGCAGAGGGGGGUGGAAUUCCACGUGUAGCAGUGAAAUGCGUAGAUAUGUGGAGGAACACCGAUGGCGAAGGCAGCCCCCUGGGCCAGCACUGACGCUCAUGCACGAAAGCGUGGGGAGCAAACAGG
rnacentral:rRNA from 1 species